rnacentral:rRNA from 14 species
AGACCCGGAGAACUGAAACAUCUUAGUACCCGGAGGAAGAGAAAGAAAAAUCGAUUCCCUGAGUAGCGGCGAGCGAAACGGGAAGAGCCCAAACCAACAAGCUUGCUUGUUGGGGUUGUAGGACACUCUAUACGGAGUUACAAAAGAACAUGUUAGACGAAUCAUCUGGAAAGAUGAAUCAAAGAAGGUAAUAAUCCUGUAGUCGAAAACAUAUUCUCUCUUGAGUGGAUCCUGAGUACGACGGAGCACGUGAAAUUCCG